CGUCCAUCGUCGGAGACCGAUUGAUGUCCGUCGAGGGGCUUGUGUCCAGCCUACUCGGAACUCACGGUUUGCGACGAGCCGAUGUGCGUAGACGCAAACGAGAUUGACGACCAAAUAGCUUGUCCUGUUCGUCAAGCAAGCCCAAAAGACUACAAUAUAUUUGUGCCCACGUUUUCCGCCAAUGAUCUCAAGAAAGAACCAUGGCCGCUUCACGUUACAGCCCAAUAUCAUUACCCGUAUGUUGUGGAUGAUGACACCUUGAUUGUGUAGAUGAUAUUCCUCCUUCGUUCUCCACAGCCUUCAAGAAAUCUAAAAAACAUAGCAUGACGGUACACAGAAAGGUUAUGACUACACUUUGAAAGGAAUGAAGACAGUAUUAUGGACACAAUAUGGACGUCACAAUCUACAGUUUGACCCAUGCAGGCUAUCAAACGAUAAUCCCAAACUUCUGGAAAAGCAACAAUCAAUGAGAAAUAUUGUCCACUACCAACUCAAGCUUGACCCAUCUCUUCCACCAUUUACCAGCUAAGAGCUUGAUUUCAUUAUCGAGUCCAAGAUACUCGAUAUUACGGAUAACGCCUUGCCAUGUGACGAGUCCCCGGGACAAGCAAUGGUUGAAAUGACCAACAUCGUGCCAAUACAACCAGUGAAGGAGUACACCGAAGCUUGAGGGGUCUGGCAAUGGGACGUAGAGCACUCUCUGUCGGUUAUGCUUUGUAGGCAACACUUUUGCGCCGCGGUAUGCCUGGGACUGCCAAACAAGGCGACCGUAUUGAUCGCGCUGGGUGGGGGUGGUGACAUGAGCUUUGGCAGAGCUGAUGAGGGUGUGGAAAAGGGUUGAUUGGGUGGUCAGGUAAUCCAUGUGAAGGGGGAAUACGAGACACUGCUAGAAGCCCAAAUUAAUACUUGGACAGAUGAUCCUUUAAGGCAUGCGACGUACUUCGAGCUG
rnacentral:sRNA from 1 species